rnacentral:rRNA from 2 species
CACCAGUGGCGAAGGCGGGCUUUUUGGUCUGUAACUGACGCUGAGGCGCGAAANGCGUGGGGAGCAACAGGAUUUAGAUACCCUGGUAGUCCACGCCGUAAACGAUGAGUGUAAGUGUUAGAGGGUUUCCGCCCUUUAGUGCUGCAGCUAACGCAUUAAGCACUCCGCCUGGGGAGUACGGUCGCAAGACUGAAACUCAAAGGAAUUGACGGGGGCCGCACAAGCGGUGGAGCAUGUGGUUUAAUUCGAAGCAACGCGAAGAACCUUACCAGGUCUUGACAUCCUCUGACAACUCUAGAGAUAGAGCGUUCCCCUUCGGGGGACAGAGUGACAGGUGGUGCAUGGUUGUCGUCAGCUCGUGUCGUGAGAUGUUGGGUUAAGUCCCGCAACGAGCGCAACCCUUGAUCUUAGUUGCCAGCAUUUAGUUGGGCACUCUAAGGUGACUGCCGGUGACAAACCGGAGGAAGGUGGGGAUGACGUCAAAUCAUCAUGCCCCUUAUGACCUGGGCUACACACGUGCUACAAUGGAUGGUACAAAGGGCUGCAAGACCGCGAGGUCAAGCCAAUCCCAUAAAACCAUUCUCAGUUCGGAUUGUAGGCUGCAACUCGCCUACAUGAAGCUGGAAUCGCUAGUAAUCGCGG